CGGACGGGUGAGUAAUGUCUGGGAAACUGCCUGAUGGGAGGGGGAUGACUACUGGAAACGGUAGCUAAUACCGCAUAACGUCGAAAGACCAAAGAGGGGGACCUUCGGGCCUCUUGCCAUCGGAUGUGCCCAGAUGGGAUUAGCUUGUUGGUGGGGUAAUGGCUCACCAAGGCGACGAUCCCUAGCUGGUCUGAGAGGAUGACCAGCCACACUGGAACUGAGACACGGUCCAGACUCCUACGGGAGGCAGCAUG
rnacentral:rRNA from 1 species